GAUGAAGAACGCAGCGAAAUGCGAUAAGUAAUGUGAAUUGCAGAAUUCAGUGAAUCAUCGAGUCUUUGAACGCACAUUGCGCCCCCUGGUAUUCCGGGGGGCAUGCCUGUCCGAGCGUCAUUGCUGCCCUCAAGCACGGCUUGUGUGUUGGGCCCCCGCCCCCCGGCUUCGGGGGGCGGGCCCGAAAGGCAGCGGCGGCACCGCGUCCGGUCCUCGAGCGUAUGGGGCUUCGUCACCCGCUCUGUAGGCCCGGCCGGCGCCCGCCGGCGACCCCAAUCAAUCUUUCCAGGUUGACCUCGGAUCAGGUAGGGAUACCCGCUGAACUUAAGCAUAUCAAUAAGCGGAGA
rnacentral:misc_RNA from 1 species